rnacentral:rRNA from 1 species
AUUGAACGCUGGCGGUAGGCCUAACACAUGCAAGUCGAACGCGAAAGUCCUUCGGGAUGAGUAGAGUGGCGGACGGGUGAGUAACGCGUAGGAAUCUAUCCUGUAGUGGGGGGUAACGGUUCGAAUGGAACGCUAAUACCGCAUACGCCCCAAGGGGGAAAGCGGGGGACCUUCGGACCCCGUGCCACAGGCGGAGCCUGCGUCGGAUUAGCUAGUUGGGGAGGUAAAGGCUCACCAAGGCGACGAGCCGUAGCUGGUCUGAGAGGAUGAUCAGCCACACCGGAACUGAGACACGGUCCGGACUCCUGCGGGAGGCAGCAGUGGGGAAUAUUGCGCAAUGGGCGAAAGCCUGACGCAGCCAUACCGCGUGUGUGAAGAAGGCCUUCGGGUUGUAAAGCACUUUCAGUGGGGAGGAAAAGCUGGUGGCUAAUAUCCAUCGGCCGUGACGCUACCCACAGAAGAAGCACCGGCUAAUUCCGUGCCAGCAGCCGCCGUAA